UGCAGAGGACGUCGCGGUAAG
rnacentral:misc_RNA from 1 species